CGAUGUCACAAAGGCGUUCGAAAUACUGGCGAUCGCCCUACCGGCGUCGGAGUUCAGAACGGACGUUGGGUCAUACGGAGGAAUGUCAUCGGCUACGCUGUUGUUGCCGUAAGGAUUAGAAUUUUGACCAUGACGUCCUGGAAGAAAUUUAGCUUGAAUUUUCCGAAAAUACCACCCGCGACUUUGGUGGCCUCGUCGAUGUUCAGAAGCAAGGAAUUUCGACGACUUGCCGAUCCGUCUCUGAGAGCAGGCCACUGAUUUACCCCGUCGAUUUCACCGAGAUCGGUUACAUUUCCUCCGGCGACGGAAUAGAUCGUAGGCAGCCAGUCGGUGAUGUGCAUCAGUUCAUUGGAGACUCUCGGAACGUUUUUUAAUAAGGGAGAAUAAAUGCACGCGGACGAUCUGACCCCUCCGUCAAAUAAUGAAAACUUGAA
rnacentral:misc_RNA from 1 species